CUCAGCCAGAAAUGGAAGAACAAGGCGAGUCUGUGUUUAGGGAAGAUGGAUGGCUGCCCACCACCUUCGCCUUAAAGACACAUCACCUCUUUUUGCGCUUGCGGGACCGAUGGUCAGUGGGUUUCCCUCCAGCCUGCUCACUUCCCUGUUGGGGUGAAGCCCAAGUGUCAAGAGGAUGUCCACAGCCUUGCUGCUCGGGGUGGAAACCCAACCUUGCUGGCUGUUGAUAGGGGCAAAGCGGAUAGUGCCUGGUUCCCCUUUCUCAGGAGCCGUUGCAUGCGGGGACAGGCAGGAAGGAAACGAGUCGGGAUGCCUGUGUCCCAGGCACAUCAGACCACAGACUCAGCCUGGGGUGCCCGAGUGCACAAGGCCACCUGGCCAGCUGAGACUUGGAAUAAAAUCCUGUUGGCCAUGGCAAGUAGGGCAGUCACCUGAGGCCUUGUCAACACCUGCGCCCUCCGCUGUCCUCAUUCCUGGCUCCCCCUCGUUCCCCCACAACCCCCUGCCAGGUGCUCUUAAAGCAAAUGCUGGACACUGCAAGCCACGGUGGGGGAGGGGAGGGUCAGUGCAUUCUGUUUCACUAUGUCAUUUUCACCAUUCUAUUUUUUGUUGCAUAUUAGGAAGGAGGGGUUUUCAGUGUAACUUCCAGGUAGAUCCCCGGUAACAAGAAUGGCAGUGGUGACAAUAAACACCCGGAGUUCCUCAGUCUCAGUGUCUGAGUUUACCAUCUUUCCCUGCCCAGCCUCUGGAGCUGGUAGGUACCUGAGCCAGGAUGCUACACCAGUUGAGCCUGAAGUACCAAGUCCUGCUCUGGAGGUUGCUAUGGAAGCACAGAGGUAGAGCCACUUAGCCCAGCCCAGGAGGAGCUGGUAGAGGAGGAAACAUCUCAGAUGAGAUUCCAAGAUCAGGAAUUAACCAGGGCUGCUUCCCACUCAAGAAGCUCAUUUCCUCAGCUCAGCCCACCCGGACCAAGCCCAGAAUCCCAGAGAAGUGUGAACACGGCAAGGCUCCUGGUUGAUGGUCGUCAGCAGAUGUAUGUGGCUCCCGUGCCUUCGUCAGGGACUGGAAGGGAAGAGAAGAUUGAGAGGUCUGCUAGUUUGGGGGUGGGCACAUGUUAAAACUGGGACAUCUGAUGAGCCAUCAGGUGUCCACAAGGAGGCAAGGAUCCUUUGAAUGCUACAUGCUGCUGUGCUCCUGAGAGUCCAGGGUGUCCCUGAACCUUUAUGCCUCCUCAUGCAUGCUUCAACAGCACUUGUACACUAAUGAUCAAACUCCAAACAUAGUCAAAUGUGAUGAUGGACACUCAUAAUCCCAGCAUUGGGGAGGCUGACAUUAUUUAAAAUAAUGGUAUGGCGUGAUUUAGACAGUCAUGCUCUGUCUGGAUAAGCGAGGGAGGAGUUCAGCAUGUUGUAACACUCUUAAAGAAAUGAAAAUGUAAAAAUAUUUAUUUAUCAAAAACUCAGGUUAUUUGAAGUAAUUCAUUGGCCAUAAAUUAUCUGAGCAAAGGAUGAAGUCAUUCAGUCCCCCAGAAGACCACACUUGAAGUCUGCUGAUCCAGAGAGAAAAGAACACACAGGGGAAAUCCAAUACUCUUUUCUGACUUCAAGAACGCCUGCCCUCACAUAACAUUAAAAACAAUAAAAAAAUCUCGAAAAUUAGCAAAAUAUAUGAAAGAGGAAGGGAAAAAAAUCAAGCA